UACGAAGGGGGCGAGCGUUGUUCGGAAUUACUGGGCGUAAAGCGUGCGCAGGCGGUUUUGUAAGUCUGAUGUGAAAUCCCCGGGCUCAACCUGGGAAUUGCAUUGGAGACUGCAAGGCUAGAAUCUGGCAGAGGGGGGGUAGAAUUCCACGUGUAGCAGUGAAAUUCGUAGAUAUUGGGAAGAACACCGAUGGCGAAGGCAGCCAUCUGGACCGACACUGACGCUGAGGCGCGAAAGCGUGGGGAGCAAACAGG
rnacentral:rRNA from 1 species